rnacentral:rRNA from 1 species
AUGGCUGGUGGGUGCGCAGGAGGGAGAGAAACAGUGAUGUACUACAGCGACGCACGCAUCUUUUUCUUCUCUUCUUUUGUUACCGUUGCUCGUUCGUUGGAUAUCAGAACAUCUCCAGCCGUUGUGCUCCCCAGCCGGCAUUUUUUUUUUGCUUCUUGGCCCAGAGCGCGCCACGCCUCCUGCCUGCUCGCAUGCAUCGCGACACCUCCUCCUGCUCUCUCCCUCGCUCCCUGGACGCCAUGGCUCGCUCACUCUCGCUCUCCCCCCUCUCGCUCUCUCCCGCCUCCCCGCGCCACCACCACCUCGCCGCGCCAGCUCCCGCAUCUCCGCCCGCCUCGACGCCACGGCGCGCGCAGCCGCGUCCUGUCCUCUCUCCCCUCCCCACCCUCGCAGCCCUGCGCGACUCCGCGCGGCGCGCUCCCUCAACGAGCAGCAGCCUCGCUCGAGAAGGGGGGAGACGGGAAGACGAGCAGCAGCAGCCGCUCACGCGCUCGCCUGCGCCUGGCCGCCCGACCGGAGCGCGCAGGAACCGGAUCAGCUGCCGACGGCCGACGAGCUCUUCGCCAUGGUCGGCUCGUCGCCAGGUCCGCCAUGUGGUCUCCUCAGCUUGGGGGCCUGGCCGGGCACGGGCACGGGCCCGACUUCGACCCGGUCGUCACAGCCAUGGCGAACGCGUCCAAGGUAGCCGAGCCAUCCCCCCACGGCGCCGGCGUCAAAGACCCAGCCCCCGACAUCGUCUCCGUCCCACCGACCGUGGGCAAUGGCGGGAAGCAGAAGAAGCAGGGCAAGUACGGCGCGGGGCGCGGGGCAGGUCGCCGUGGUCGCCACGCUCAGGCCGGGGCUGCCCGUGGCCGGUGCGCCCGGUGCCGAGGCCGCCCGUGGCAGGCCUCGCCACCCGCGCCCGCCCACAGCGUCGCCGGCCGCCUGGACCACGGCCGCACGCCUCGUCGACGCAGGGCUUCCCGGCCGCAUGGACCACGACUUCCUGGCCGCCGAGUCCUUGACGCUGGCCAAGACGGAGCUCCCCGGCGUGGCCUUCGGCUGCAGCGACACGAACGAGGACGACGGGUUCCUGGUGUGGAGGCGGCGAGCGAGGCGGGGAGGCGACAGGUGGGGAGGCGGGCCCACGUAGAGAAAAAGGUUGGAGAGAGAGGGAGUGGGAGGCUGAAUGUGGGCCAAACGCAUGCAAAAUCUUCUCUCUCUGCCCCCAAGAGCCCCCCGGCAGGCUGGGUUUCGCCUGCGCGCGCCGGCGCUAAUUUUCGCUAA